rnacentral:rRNA from 1 species
AUUGAACGCUGGCGGAAUGCUUUACACAUGCAAGUCGAACGGCAGCACGGGGCAACCUGGUGGCGAGUGGCGAACGGGUGGGUAAUACAUCGGAACGUGCCCAAUCGUGGGGGAUAACGUAGCGAAAGUUACGCUAAUACCGCAUACGAUCUACGGAUGAAAGCGGGGGAUCGCAAGACCUCGCGCGAAUGGAGCGGCCGAUGUCAGAUUAGGUAGUUGGUGGGGUAAAGGCUCACCAAGCCAACGAUCUGUAGCUGGUCUGAGAGGACGACCAGCCACACUGGAACUGAGACACGGUCCAGACUCCUACGGGAGGCAGCAGUGGGGAAUUUUGGACAAUGGGCGCAAGCCUGAUCCAGCCAUUCCGCGUGCAGGAUGAAGGCCUUCGGGUUGUAAACUGCUUUUGUACGGAACGAAACGGCGAGCUCUAAUACAGUUUGCUAAUGACGGUACCGUAAGAAUAAGCACCGGCUAACUACGUG